rnacentral:miRNA from 1 species
CCCAGAAGCCAGAACAGCAAGAGGGAUUGCUGCUUUCACUGUGCAGUGAUCCCUCUUGCAGUUCUGGCUUCUGAG